UCAGGAUGAACGCUAGCUACAGGCUUAACACAUGCAAGUCGAGGGGAAACGAUAGAGAAAGCUUGCUUUUUCUAGGCGUCGACCGGCGCACGGGUGAGUAACGCGUAUCCAACCUGCCCACCACUUGGGGAUAACCUUGCGAAAGUAAGACUAAUACCCAAUGAUAUCUCAAGAAGACAUCUGAAUGAGAUUAAAGAUUUAUCGGUGAUGGAUGGGGAUGCGUCUGAUUAGCUUGUUGGCGGGGUAACGGCCCACCAAGGCGACGAUCAGUAGGGGUUCUGAGAGGAAGGUCCCCCACAUUGGAACUGAGACACGGUCCAAACUCCUACGGGAGGCAGCAGUGAGGAAUAUUGGUCAAUGGACGAGAGUCUGAACCAGCCAAGUAGCGUGCAGGAUGACGGCCCUAUGGGUUGUAAACUGCUUUUAUAAGGGAAUAAAGUGAGUCUCGUGAGACUUUUUGCAUGUACCUUAUGAAUAAGGACCGGCUAAUUCCGUGCCAGCAGCCGCGGUAAUACGGAAGGUCCGGGCGUUAUCCGGAUUUAUUGGGUUUAAAGGGAGCGUAGGCCGGAGAUUAAGCGUGUUGUGAAAUGUAGAUGCUCAACAUCUGCACUGCAGCGCGAACUGGUUUCCUUGAGUACGCACAAAGUGGGCGGAAUUCGUGGUGUAGCGGUGAAAUGCUUAGAUAUCACGAAGAACUCCGAUUGCGAAGGCAGCUCACUGGAGCGCAACUGACGCUGAAGCUCGAAAGUGCGGGUAUCGAACAGGAUUAGAUACCCUGGUAGUCCGCACGGUAAACGAUGGAUGCCCGCUGUUGGUCUGAAUAGGUCAGCGGCCAAGCGAAAGCAUUAAGCAUCCCACCUGGGGAGUACGCCGGCAACGGUGAAACUCAAAGGAAUUGACGGAAGGG
rnacentral:rRNA from 1 species